AACUUUUGGCAAUGGAUCACUUGGCUCUGGCGUCGAUGAAGAACGCAGCGAAAUGCGAUAAGUAAUGUGAAUUGCAGAAUCCAGUGAAUCAUCGAAUCUUUGAACGCACAUUGCGCCCGCCAGCAUUCUGGCGGGCAUGCCUGUUCGAGCGUCAUUUCAACCCUCGACCUCCCUUUGGGGAAGUCGGCGUUGGGGACCGGCAGCACACCGCCGGCCCUGAAAUGGAGUGGCGGCCCGUCCGCGGCGACCUCUGCGUAGUAAACCAACUCGCACCGGAACCCCGACGUGGCCACGCCGUAAAACACCCAACUUCUGAACGUUGACCUCGAAUCAGGUAGGACUACCCGCUGAACUUAAGCAUAUCAAUAAGCGGAGGCU
rnacentral:misc_RNA from 1 species